UACGGGGGGGGGGCAAGCGUUUGUUCGGAAUUACUGGGCGUAAAGGGCUCGUAGGCGGCCAACUAAGUCAUACGUGAAAUCCCUCGGCUUAACCGGGGAACUGCGUCUGAUACUGGAUGGCUUGAGUUCGGGAGAGGGAUGCGGAAUUCCAGGUGUAGCGGUGAAAUGCGUAGAUAUCUGGAGGAACACCGGUGGCGAAGGCGGCAUCCUGGACCGAUACUGACGCUGAGGAGCGAAAGCCAGGGGAGCAAAGCGGG
rnacentral:rRNA from 1 species